rfam:Shewanella sp. P1-14-1 AN944_contig000006, whole genome shotgun sequence.
UAUAGCCAUCAUGGAUGAUGGCUAAGGCUCAGGGGGACAUGGAUGUCCCAUCUGAGCCGUUA